AAAUUGAAGAGUUUGAUCAUGGCUCAGAUUGAACGCUGGCGGCAGGCCUAACACAUGCAAGUCGAGCGGUAGCACGGGGGAGCUUGCUCCCUGGGUGACGAGCGGCGGACGGGUGAGUAAUGUCUGGGAAACUGCCUGAUGGAGGGGGAUAACUACUGGAAACGGUAGCUAAUACCGCAUAAUGUCGCAAGACCAAAGAGGGGGACCUUCGGGCCUCUUGCCAUCAGAUGUGCCCAGAUGGGAUUAGCUAGUAGGUGGGGUAACGGCUCACCUAGGCGACGAUCCCUAGCUGGUCUGAGAGGAUGACCAGCCACACUGGAACUGAGACACGGUCCAGACUCCUACGGGAGGCAGCAGUGGGGAAUAUUGCACAAUGGGCGCAAGCCUGAUGCAGCCAUGCCGCGUGUAUGAAGAAGGCCUUCGGGUUGUAAAGUACUUUCAGCGAGGAGGAAGGUGUUGCGGUUAAUAACCGCAGCAAUUGACGUUACUCGCAGAAGAAGCACCGGCUAACUCCGUGCCAGCAGCCGCGGUAAUACGGAGGGUGCAAGCGUUAAUCGGAAUUACUGGGCGUAAAGCGCACGCAGGCGGUCUGUCAAGUCGGAUGUGAAAUCCCCGGGCUCAACCUGGGAACUGCAUUCGAAACUGGCAGGCUAGAGUCUUGUAGAGGGGGGUAGAAUUCCAGGUGUAGCGGUGAAAUGCGUAGAGAUCUGGAGGAAUACCGGUGGCGAAGGCGGCCCCCUGGACAAAGACUGACGCUCAGGUGCGAAAGCGUGGGGAGCAAACAGGAUUAGAUACCCUGGUAGUCCACGCCGUAAACGAUGUCGACUUGGAGGUUGUUCCCUUGAGGAGUGGCUUCCGGAGCUAACGCGUUAAGUCGACCGCCUGGGGAGUACGGCCGCAAGGUUAAAACUCAAAUGAAUUGACGGGGGCCCGCACAAGCGGUGGAGCAUGUGGUUUAAUUCGAUGCAACGCGAAGAACCUUACCUACUCUUGACAUCCAGAGAACUUAGCAGAGAUGCUUUGGUGCCUUCGGGAACUCUGAGACAGGUGCUGCAUGGCUGUCGUCAGCUCGUGUUGUGAAAUGUUGGGUUAAGUCCCGCAACGAGCGCAACCCUUAUCCUUUGUUGCCAGCGGUUAGGCCGGGAACUCAAAGGAGACUGCCAGUGAUAAACUGGAGGAAGGUGGGGAUGACGUCAAGUCAUCAUGGCCCUUACGAGUAGGGCUACACACGUGCUACAAUGGCGCAUACAAAGAGAAGCGACCUCGCGAGAGCAAGCGGACCUCAUAAAGUGCGUCGUAGUCCGGAUUGGAGUCUGCAACUCGACUCCAUGAAGUCGGAAUCGCUAGUAAUCGUAGAUCAGAAUGCUACGGUGAAUACGUUCCCGGGCCUUGUACACACCGCCCGUCACACCAUGGGAGUGGGUUGCAAAAGAAGUAGGUAGCUUAACCUUCGGGAGGGCGCUUACCACUUUGUGAUUCAUGACUGGGGUGAAGUCGUAACAAGGUAACCGUAGGGGAACCUGCGGUUGGAUCACCUCCUUACCUUAAAGAA
rnacentral:rRNA from 2 species